rnacentral:ncRNA from 1 species
CAGAAUAGGAACACCGCGUAAAGUGUCAGUGGAUGGGAAGUUGCCGCUGAACGAAAAUUGUAUCGUCGAUUGCGAUGGUUGUUCCGCUUCCGCUGU